AGCCUAAGCCUUAGCUUGGCCUGAGCCUCAGUGUUCUCACCUGAGAAAUGGGUUAAGCAUUAACGACACCCCCCUAGAUGGAAGCCCAAAUCUGCAUCUCCUGUGUUUUCUUUCUCUGGAGGCACACGGUGCUCUGCCCCCUCACCAUGAGAUAGCCCCAGGUGCCGCCCUCACCUUCUCAUCUGAAUUUGAGUGACAUGCAUCUUGUAUUCUCAAAGAGUCUGAUCCUGGGGUGAAGAGGACCCAGCUGUGUGCACUUGGGCACAGUGCUCUACCUCUCUGAGCCUGUUUCCUCACGAGUAAAUGUGAACAUUAAGGUCGAUAUUUGGAGACCCCUGUAAGGAUUAAAUGAGAU
ensembl:lncRNA